CCUACGGGUGGCAGCAGUGAGGAAUAUUGGUCAAUGGGCGGGAGCCUGAACCAGCCAAGCCGCGUGAGGGAAGAAGGUACAGCGUAUCGUAAACCUCUUUUGUCAGGGAACAAAGGCGGGGACUAGUCCCCGGCUGAGGGUACCUGAAGAAAAAGCAUCGGCUAACUCCGUGCCAGCAGCCGCGGUAAUACGGAGGAUGCGAGCGUUAUCCGGGUUUAUUGGGUUUAAAGGGUGCGCAGGCGGCCUGUUAAGGCAGCGGUAAAAGGCCGGGGCUCAACCCCGGCGAGCCGUUGAAACUGGGUGCCUUGAGUGGGCCGGAGGCAUGCGGAAUGCGCGGUGUAGCGGUGAAAUGCAUAGAUAUCGCGCAGAACCCCGAUUGCGAAGGCAGCGUGCCGUGCCGCCACUGACGCUGAGGCACGAAAGUGCGGGGAUCGAACAGGAUUAGAUACCCUAGUAGUC
rnacentral:rRNA from 1 species